rnacentral:rRNA from 1 species
UACGUAGGGCGCAAGCGUUGUCCGGAAUUAUUGGGCGUAAAGAGCUCGUAGGCGGCCUGUUACGUCUGCUGUGAAAUCCCGGGGCUUAACCCCGGGCGUGCAGUGGAUACGGGCAGGCUGGAGGCAGGCAGGGGAGAACGGAAUUCCCGGUGUAGCGGUGAAAUGCGCAGAUAUCGGGAGGAACACCGGUGGCGAAGGCGGGUCUCUGGGCCGAUACUGACACUGAGAAGCGAAAGCGUGGGGAGCGAACAGG